rnacentral:rRNA from 1 species
UGGGGAAUAUUGCACAAUGGGCGCAAGCCUGAUGCAGCCAUGCCGCGUGUAUGAAGAAGGCCUUCGGGUUGUAAAGUACUUUCAGCGGGGAGGAAGGCGAUAAGGUUAAUAACCUUGUCGAUUGGCGUUACCCGCAGAAGAAGCACCGGCUAACUCCGUGCCAGCAGCCGCGGUAAUACGGAGGGGGCAAGCGUUAAUCGGAAUUACUGGGCGUAAAGCGCACGCAGGCGGUCUGUCAAGUCGGAUGUGAAAUCCCCGGGCUCAACCUGGGAACUGCAUUCGAAACUGGCAGGCUAGAGUCUUGUAGAGGGGGGUAGAAUUCCAGGUGUAGCGGUGAAAUGCGUAGAGAUCUGGAGGAAUACCGGUGGCGAAGGCGGCCCCCUGGACAAAGACUGACGCUCAGGUGCGAAAGCGUGGGGAGCAAACA